AGUUUGAUCCUGGCUCAGAACGAACGCUGGCGGCGUGCUUAACACAUGCAAGUCGAACGCGAAAGUAGACUUCGGUUUACGAGUAGAGUGGCGCACGGGUGAGUAACGCGUAAGUAAUCUACCCUUUUAUCUGGGAUAACAGUGGGAAACCGCUGCUAAUACCGGAUACGGUCUAUUUGUCGCAGGGCAGAUAGAAGAAAGGUGGCCUCUGAUUCAAGCUACCGUAGAAGGACGAGCUUGCGUACCAUUAGCUAGUUGGUGGGGUAAAGGCUUACCAAGGCUACGAUGGUUAGCGGGUCUGAGAGGAUGAUCCGCCACACUGGAACUGGAACACGGACCAGACUCCUACGGGAGGCAGCAGUGAGGAAUAUUGCGCAAUGGGGGAAACCCUGACGCAGCGACGCCGCGUGAGUGAAGAAGGCCUUCGGGUCGUAAAGCUCUGUCUAGUGGGAAGAAAUGUCAGAUGGUUAAUACCCAUUUGAUUUGACGGUACCACUGAAGGAAGCACCGGCUAACUCCGUGCCAGCAGCCGCGGUAACACGGAGGGUGCAAGCGUUGUUCGGAAUUACUGGGCGUAAAGGGCGCGUAGGCGGCCAAUUAAGUCAGGUGUGAAAGCCCACGGCUCAACCGUGGAUGGUCAUCUGAAACUGGUUGGCUUGAGUAUCGGAGAGGAAAGUGGAAUUCCCGGUGUAGAGGUGAAAUUCGUAGAUAUCGGGAGGAACACCAGUAGCGAAAGGCGACUUUCUGGCCGAAUACUGACGCUGA
rnacentral:rRNA from 1 species